rnacentral:lncRNA from 1 species
AACAAAUGUUAAGCCCUUUCUCCAUCAGCAUUGGAAAUAAGUUAAAAUACUGUUCAUUUCUCCAUGCCAUUAUUAGAAAACAAUCUUCUAUAAUUUAAAAUCUGAAAUAUUAAGCAAUUUAUGUGAAUUAUUACAAUUAUGUUCUUUUUUAAACAGUCAAACCAAGUUUUUCCUGUCUUGUCUGGGCACAGACAAGCACUUAUGCUGACGGUUUACCGUGACAGCAUGUAGGGUUGGGUCUUCAUUACAAAGAUCUGCCCACUAGCUGAGUACACUGGUGUUUUUCCAUUCACCUCUGCCCAGCAGGACAAGAUGAUGAAAGUACAGAGAACUUGUGGGUCCAGGUUUGUGUCAGAAAGGAGGUUAGUGGCUUGCUUAGGGCCAGGCAGAGGGCACAUUGGAAGGAAUUCUCUGUUCCCGGUGACAGCCCUUGGAAUUGCUGUGCACCCAGAGUUGCGGAGUAAUUUAUUGGCUUCUGAUAACUAUAGUAUUGGAUAACUUCCCAACAUUUUAUUAAAAAUUUUAAACAUAUAGGCAUGUUGAAAGAAUUUAUACUCACCACCUAGAUUUUGCCACUAUCACAUAUCUGUGCAUCCUAUUAAUACAUUUUUAAUUAUUAUUUUUUUGAGACAGAGUUUCUUUUACUCAGGCUGGAUUGCAAUGGUGCAAUCUCAGCUCACUGCAACCUCUGCCUCCAAGAUUGAGGCGAUUCUCCCACCUCAGGCUCCUGAAUAGCUGGGACUACAGAGGGGAGCCACCAUGCCCGGUUAAUUUUUGUAUUUUUGGUAAAGAAGGGGUUUCAUCAUGUUGCCCCAGGCUGGCCUUGAACUCCUGGGCUCAAGUGAUCCUCUGGCCUCAGCCUCCCAAAGUGCUAGGAUUACAGGCAUGAGUCACCGUGCCCAGCCAGCCAUUAAUGCAUUUUUAAUAUAUUUUUAGUCAAUUGCAGACAUCGUACAAUUUUCCCUAAACGUUGCAACAUGCCUAUUCAUUACAGUUCAGUAUUUUUCAGGAUUUUUUUUUUUUGUAAAAUUUACAAAGAAAUGUGGAAAUCUUAGUUGUGCAUUAGUUGAGUUUUAACAAAUACCUAGGCUUUAUCGCAACCUCUAUCAAGAUACAGAACAUUGCUGUCAUUCUAGAAGCCUCUGUAAUGUGCCUUCCCCAGUCAAUCUCUUUUUCCAUGGCCCCAGCAGCCAUCAUUCUUUCAAUACUUUAAAAAACAUUCUUAUCUGAAGGGAAAUUUCAUAUGUGCCAAAGUCAUCUCUAGAUUUCUCCAAGUCUUAACCAUGCCAGAGUACAGCCAAACCUAGCCCUUCAUGCAUCUCAAAUAAAGUUCUAAGAUCUUGGUAUUUUAUUCUUCCCUGUUUCAACUUAGCUCCAACUCUUUUUUUCUUUUUUCCAUCAAGAUUUAAACCUGUCAUCCUUGACAUUUGGGGCAGAAACUGCUGAAAUGAAGGAGGACUUGCCAUCAAAGAACUGGCUGAAAGGAGUUAGCACACCACUCCUCUGCCCUGAACAGUUCUAAGCAAGAGGAGGAGCCUGUGGCAGGGCGUGAUAUGAAGUCCUCAGAGAUAGAGUGCCAAGAGUAGAGGGAGUAUCCUGGAACUUCAGUGUUUGCAGGUCAGUUGCUCAGUUCUUCAGAAGAUAUUGAUUCUUAGGCUCUAAUUUUCUUAAGGUAUGAGCUGAACUGAAGUGCUCUCUCCUCCUUAGGAUUUUGUACUCCAAGGUUGGCAUUCAGAAUCCGCAUAGCCAGAGAGUGCUGUAUACAAGCAGGGCUGUUAGCAUCUGCUCAGCUUCUGAUGAGGCCCAGGAAGCUUUUGGUCUUGGUGGAAGAGAAGAGGAGCCAGCAUAUUACAUGACGAGAGGAAGCAAGAGAGAUACCAGGCUCUUUUAAGCAACCAGUUCUCAUGUGAACGCAUUGCUACUGAGAAAGUGCCAAACCAUUCACGAGGGAUCCACUACCUAGACCCAAACACCUCCCCCUAGGCCCCGUCUCCAACAGCGGGGAUCAUAUUUCAACAUGAGACUUCGAGGAGACAAAUAUCCAAACCAUAUCGCCC